UCACGGUAAAACCCGCCUUCGGGAUCAACUUACCGUUGGGUCUUCGUUUACGCACAAUCGCACCUUAGAAUUACGGUUCCACCCCUCCAUUUUAGACAAGUUUUGGAAGCUGGCUCACAUUUUCCAUGGAGCCUCAGAAAUAAGACGAGAAAUUACACCUAACGUUGAUCCAGUAGACGGGCUUCAAGGGAAAGAGAGUUUUUGGCAACCAUGACAAAGACAACAGGGUUUUGCUUGGUUCCCCGCCAAAUCAAAGAGAAAAGCUCCGGCAGUGAACCAAGAUGGAUUAUGAUAAGUUUCAGAAGUUAUUUGAAGCAUUAUAGGACGUUUCCCAACCUUUUGAAACAAGGUCAUUGAUUUGUUUGAAGGAUGAGAAGGGAGUUGCUAUUAUGCAUUUGGACCCAUGCAGCAUCGACAAUGAUGCCCUUCCAAAUGAACACAUUAUACAUGAAUCCAUAAGGUCUCCAUCCUCAGCAUGGGCCACUCUCCCAUACAAACCAAGCUGAUGGGACAUCACGAGUCCAAGCCAAUUGACGUCUACUGCCUCCAUCCAUGGCUGAGCUCCGGACAGGGAUGGCAUGAGGCUCCACUCGGGGUUACAAGCCCUUUUGGAUAAGGAUAUAGCUAUUAUACAUAGAA